rnacentral:tRNA from 1 species
GAGUUUGUAGCAUAAGAGAAAUGCGCCUGUCUGUUAAAUGGGAAGAUACAGUGUUUCUGUUAGGCUCG